AUUGAACGCUGGCGGCAGGCUUAACACAUGCAAGUCGAACGGUAGCAGGAGAAAGCUUGCUUUCUUGCUGACGAGUGGCGGACGGGUGAGUAAUGCUUGGGAAUCUGGCUUAUGGAGGGGGAUAACUACGGGAAACUGUAGCUAAUACCGCGUAGUAUCGGAAGAUGAAAGUGCGGGACCGCAAGGCCGCAUGCCAUGGGAUGAGCCCAAGUGGGAUUAGGUAGUUGGUGGGGUAAAGGCCUACCAAGCCUGCGAUCUCUAGCUGGUCUGAGAGGAUGGCCAGCCACACUGGAACUGAGACACGGUCCAGACUCCUACGGGAGGCAGCAGUGGGGAAUAUUGCGCAAUGGGGGGAACCCUGACGCAGCCAUGCCGCGUGAAUGAAGAAGGCCUUCGGGUUGUAAAGUUCUUUCGGUAUUGAGGAAGGUUGAUGUGUUAAUAGUACAUCAAAUUGACGUUAAAUACAGAAGAAGCACCGGCUAACUCCGUGCCAGCAGCCGCGGUAAUACGGAGGGUGCGAGCGUUAAUCGGAAUAACUGGGCGUAAAGGGCACGCAGGCGGUUAUUUAAGUGAGGUGUGAAAGCCCCGGGCUUAACCUGGGAAUUGCAUUUCAGACUGGGGUAACUAGAGUACUUUAGGGAGGGGUAGAAUUCCACGUGUAGCGGUGAAAUGCGUAGAGAUGUGGAGGAAUACCGAAAGGCGAAGGCAGCCCCUUGGGAAUGUGCUGACCCUCAUGUGCGAAAACGUGGGGAGCAAACAAG
rnacentral:rRNA from 1 species